rnacentral:rRNA from 1 species
GAUGAACGCUAGCGACAGGCCUAACACAUGCAAGUCGAGGGGCAUCACAUGCGUAGCAAUACAAUGGUGGCGACCGGCGCACGGGUGAGUAACACGUAUGCAACCUACCUGUAAGAGGGGAAUAACCCGGAGAAAUUCGGACUAAUACCGCAUAAUACUGAUUAUCUGCAUGGAUUGAUCAGUUAAACAUUUAUGGCUUACAGAUGGGCAUGCGUAUGAUUAGAUAGUUGGUAGGGUAACGGCCUACCAAGUCAACGAUCAUUAGGGGUUCUGAGAGGAAGGUCCCCCACACUGGUACUGAGACACGGACCAGACUCCUACGGGAGGCAGCAGUGAGGAAUAUUGGUCAAUGGGCGAGAGCCUGAACCAGCCAAGUCGCGUGAAGGAAGAAGGUUCUAUGGAUUGUAAACUUCUUUUGUAAGGGAAUAAAAAGAGUUACGUGUAACUUAUUGUAUGUACUUUACGAAUAAGGAUCGGCUAACUCCGUGCCAGCAGCCG